rnacentral:rRNA from 1 species
UACCAGCUCUCCGAGUGGUGUGGAUGUUUAUUGGGCCUAAAGCAUCCGUAGCUGGCUGGGCAAGUCCCCUGUUAAAUCCACCGAUUUAAUCGUUGGUGUGCGGGGGAUACUGUUCGGCUAGGGGACGGGAGAGGCCGACGGUAUUUUCGGGGUAGGGGUGAAAUCCUAUAAUCCCGGGAAGACCACCAGUGGCGAAGGCUGUCGGCUAGAACGCGCCCGACGGUGAGGGAUGAAGGCUGGGGGAGCGAACCGGAUUAGAUACCCGGGUAGUCCCAGCUGUAAACGAUGCAGGCUAGGUGUUUGGGCGGCCACGUGCCGCUCUAGUGCCGCAGAGAAGUCGUUAAGCCUGCCACCUGGGGAGUACGGCCGCAAGGCUGAAACUUAAAGGAAUUGGCGGGGGAGCACCACAAGGGGUGAAGCUUGCGGUUU